rnacentral:rRNA from 1 species
CCUACGGGAGGCUGCAGUGGGGAAUAUUGGACAAUGGGGGCAACCCUGAUCCAGCCAUGCCGCGUGUGUGAAGAAGGCCCUCGGGUUGUAAAGCACUUUCAGUGAGGAAGAACGCCUGGUGGUUAAUACCCAUCAGGAAAGACAUCACUCACAGAAGAAGCACCGGCUAACUCCGUGCCAGCAGCCGCGGUAAUACGGAGGGUGCGAGCGUUAAUCGGAAUUACUGGGCGUAAAGCGCGCGUAGGUGGCUUGAUAAGCCGGUUGUGAAAGCCCCGGGCUCAACCUGGGAACGGCAUCCGGAACUGUCAAGCUAGAGUGCAGGAGAGGAAGGUAGAAUUCCCGGUGUAGCGGUGAAAUGCGUAGAGAUCGGGAGGAAUACCAGUGGCGAAGGCGGCCUUCUGGACUGACACUGACACUGAGGUGCGAAAGCGUGGGUAGCAAACAGGAUUAGAUACCCUAGUAGAC